GACGAACCAUGCAAACGUUAUUCGGAUUCACUGGGCUUAAAGCGUGCGUAGGCGGUCUUGUUAGUCAGGUGUGAAAGCCCUCAGCCUAACUGAGGAAUUGCGCUUGAUACUGCAUGACUAGAGAAUGAUAGAGGUGGGUGGAACUGAUGGUGGAGCGGUGAAAUGCGUUGAUAUCAUCAGGAACACCGGUGGCGAAGGCGGGUCUCUGGGCCGUAACUGACGCUGAGGAGCGAAAGCAUGGGGAGCGAACAGG
rnacentral:rRNA from 1 species